UGCGCUUCUCGGCCUUUUGGCUAAGAUCAAGUGUAGUAUCUGUUCUUAAAAAAAAAUAAUAAUAAAUCGCAAGCAUCCACAAGCAAGUGCGGAUGCAGUGCGAUUUUCACGCACGGCUGCUAGGAGACGAUCGGGAUGGAGACCCAAUCAAUAUUAUUUUCCCUUAUAACAUGGUUAUAAGGGAAAAUAAUAGCAUUC